GAAGCCAUCGAUAAACCUACGUAUGCUACAAAGUGGCCGAUACGACAUGGAAUCAUUGAAGACUGGGAUCUUAUGGAAAGGUUCAUGGAGCAAGUGGUUUUUAAAUAUCUUCGAGCUGAACCUGAGGACCAUUAUUUUUUAAUGGGGUAACUAUCUCCUUCCUGCUGUAAUCAGUGACCAGACAGAACCUCCACUCAAUACACCAGAAAACAGAGAGUAUCUUGCAGAAAUUAUGUUUGAAUCAUUUAACGUACCAGGACUCUACAUUGCAGUUCAGGCAGUGCUGGCCUUGGCGGCAUCUUGGACAUCUCGACAAGUG
rnacentral:sRNA from 1 species